rnacentral:rRNA from 1 species
UACGAGGGGUGCAAGUGUUGUUCGGAAUCACUGGGCGUAAAGGGAGCGUAGGCGGGCUCUUAAGUUGGAUGUUUAAAACCGGGGCCCAACCCCGGCGUGGCAUCCAAAACUGGGAGUCUUGAAUGGAACAGAGGCUAGUGGAAUUGGAGGUGUAGCGGUGGAAUGCGUAGAGAUCUCCAAGAACACCCGUUGCGAAGGCGGCUAGCUGGGUUCACAUUGACGCUGAGGCUCGAAAGCGUGGGGAGCAAACAGG